CAAGGCUCUGGGUGGAGGGAGAGGUGGUUCAAGCCCUGAGGCAGUGAGCGACUCCAAGGCAGGACUUAAAGGGCUUUGUCGGAGACUUAGGCGGGGCGACGGGGACGUGACGUGUUACGCGCCGUGACGUAUUACGCGCCAUGACGUGUAGGGCGUGAGGGGCGUGACGAGUCGCGACGGGACGUGGCUAAGAUGGCCGCGCGCAUGAGUCUCUCCCCGGCGCUGAGUGGAGGGGGUUCGCUCUCAGGGAAAUAUUCGGGUUAUUAGGUUCCUGCAUGUUAUUUCGGGCCUGAUCAACAUUUCAAGCUAAACAUGGUGGUGAUGAGUAUCCUCAGGGCCAUUCUGCAAGCCUCUCCAUGCAGGUCACCAUGGAGAAGAUUCCAGAUCCCCAGCUCCGUGCCGGCGAGGCCCUGCAGCCUCUACACCUG